GGCCGAGGGGGGAGCCGAGGAGGAGGUCAGGUUGGGACUAGGUUUGGCAAGCAGAAUAAAGGAGGUGUUCAAUCCGAUAGACAAACCUCGCAGGGGAGAGUUUUUGCUUUGACUCAGCGGGAUGCUCAGGCUAAUCCAGAGGUGGUAACAGGAUUGGAGGAAGGCAUCUCUCCACCUCUUGGAAAUUAAUUUGUAGAGUUUCAAAUCUACACUUUUGCUAUUUUUGGAGAUUCAUAGACUUUUGUGUGGCUCGCCUCAACUUGGAAGACUAGAAUUUUUUGAAGGAUCACAGGUGGGCAUCUUGUGGUUGAGGUUUUUCUUAGGGUCAUUCUAGGAUGUAAGCUUACCCUUUUUUUUAUGAAGGAGGUUGAUUGUAAAUAUUGCUUAUGAAGUUGGAUGUAUUGAUGGAUUCGUGAUUAGUAUGUAUUAUAUUUUUUUUGGGAGGAAAUGCUUGGGAACUAUCUUGUAGCAUGAUAAUACUUUUUUUGUCUUUGAAUAGAUCAUUUCAUAUAUGUUAGGCAAUUGAAAGGUCUUAUGCACUUUUGGUAAUGUGGUGAUGUGAUGUAUGAAUUAUA